CUGUUUAGUCUCCAUAUAUACUGUGGAGGCCAAGUGACUUCCUAAAAGAAAGAUGAAAUUGUAGCCACUAACAUAAUCUAGGGUUCAUGGCUUUAAAUGAGAACAAAAUAAUAAUAAGGAACAGUUAUUGAUCUCUUACUGUAUGCCUGGCUCUUGGUUAAAUUAUGUGCAUUAUCUGAUUUAAUCUUCAUGUGAGAAUCACAAAGAUCCUUAUAAGAGGGACACAGGAAUCAUCAGAGCCAGAAGAGGAGGGAGUGUGAUAACAGAAGCAGAGAAUGGAGUGACACACUUAAAGGUAGAAGAAGGGACCAUAAGACUCUACAUGGCCACUCCAAGCUAAAAAAAGAAAGUAGCAGAUGCUCUCCUCAGUCUCUAAAAAGAAACAAGCUUGAAUGACACAUUGACUUUAGCUCAGUUGUGUAGUCAGCUUUCCUUUACUCUACAAAAAAAUCUGAGAUUGUACACCUAUGCCAGUCCAUGUAUCUGUGGCAAAGCCUCCUCACCGUGCUGGGACUCUCACACCUGGCUCGAGCAUCCUUCUUACCUGGGGGCUCUCCUUAGCCUCUUAGCCCGUGUUACCCUCUGUGCCAAGGAGACAGCCCACCCUGGGCUGCUGCCUUCACUCCAGAGCGGCCCAACACUCUCUGCCCUACUGGUUUCAGGACUGAACUGUUCCAGUAAAAAAGGAAAAGAGGAAGAGAAAGGAGAAGAGGAAUAUUUGCUUUCUUAGGACCAGAUCAUCACCAUGACAAAUUCUUAGUCAACUCCUAAGUUAAUGGAAGAGCUGGCUUCCGAUCAAGUUUAUUUUGGAAACCAUUUCUGAGCAAUGAUGACAAAGAUCUUCGGUGGAUAUGGGUCCAGAUAGAACCUAGGAAGCCUGGCAUCUGGUCUUGCCUUGCACUUUACCAGUUGUGUGAAGCCUAUUGUUCUACCUCUAGUCCUUUGUACAGUAGAGUGAUAAAUAAAUAUAUCAAUUAAGUAAUAAAUAGGAUGCCUGAUAUGAGUCCCUUUUUCUGUUUAUAUAAAAUAGAGAUAGUUUUUAUGAGGAUGAAGAGAGAUAAGGUAUUUUGAAAUGUCCUGAAAACUAUAAAAACCAUGUUAAUAUUGCAUUUUUAUAAGAAAAAUAUCUUUUCAGGAAAUAUCCUUGUAUUGCAAAUUUUUGGUAGGGCAAUCCUACUUUCUUAUGACUCACAAAAUUGAUGUGAAUAAAAUAUACCCAAUACACAGAACUGAAAAUGUGUGCUGGGAAAAUAAAACCCAGGAAGCCUGGGAGGGGGCAGCAGCAUACAGUCACAGCAUGCCGGACGUUAUAAAGCCAGAGCCCCGUAAGCCGCACUUUGAAGAACUUCUGAUUUAAUUUAAUUCAGUGUGCUUACUUACUGACCCUCUCCCUUUAAAUACUGUGAAAGCCUAAUAACUCCACCCUUAAAUUUACUUCUCUUUAUCUUCUCUGUCGAAAUUUCCUCUCUGUUCUGAUACCCUUUAGCGGUCUCCAGGACUUCCCUUUUCUUUACUGCCUACUGUCCAGAUGUGUGUGGUAUCUAAUUAUACUGUUAUUUUGAGCAAAAGACCCUGACUAAAUAGGAU